rnacentral:rRNA from 1 species
UACGUAGGGUCCAAGCGUUGUUCGGAUUUACUGGGCGUAAAGGGCGCGUAGGCGGCAAUUCAAGUCAGCUGUGAAAUCUCCGAGCUUAACUCGGAACGGUCAGCUGAUACUGUUUUGCUAGAGUACAGAAGGGGCAAUCGGAAUUCUUGGUGUAGCGGUGAAAUGCGUAGAUAUCAAGAGGAACACCUGAGGUGAAGACGGGUUGCUGGGCUGAUACUGACGCUGAGGCGCGAAAGCUAGGGUAGCAAACGGG